GCCCCGGUAGCUCAGCGGAUAGAGCAACUGCCUCCUAAGCAGUAGGUCGCGCGUUCGAGUCGCGCCCGGGGCG
rnacentral:tRNA from 2 species